AGAGUUUGAUCCUGGCUCAGAAUCAACGCUGGCGGGCGCGCCUAACACAUUGCAAGUCGAAACGAGAAAGUCCCGCAAGGAUGAGUACAGUGGCGUACGGGGUGAGUAACACGUGGAUCAUCUAACUUUGGUGGGGAAUACCGCCGCGAAAGUGGCGACAAUUCCGCAUAAUCUCGAGAGAGGAAAGCAGCAAUGCGCUGAAGGAGGAGUCCGCGGCUGAUUAGCUAGUGGGUGAGGUAAUGGCUCACCAAGGCUCAGAUCAGUAGCCGGCCUGAGAGGGCACACAGCCACACUGGCACUGAAACACAGGCCAGACUCCUACAGGAGGCAGCAGUGGGGAGUCUGNACAAUGGACGAAACUCUGAUGCAUGACGCCGCGUGAGCGAUGAUGCCCUGCGGGGUGUAAAGCUCUUGGGAUAGGAUGAUAAUGACAGUACCCAA
rnacentral:rRNA from 1 species